UACGUAGGGGGCUAGCGUUGUCCGGAUUUAUUGGGCGUAAAGAGCUUGUAGGCGGUUUGUCGCGUCUGCCGCGAAAAUCCGGGGCUCAACCCCGGACUUGCGGUGGGUACGGGCAGACUAGAGUGUGGUAGGGGAGACUGGAAUUCCUGGUGUAGCGGUGAAAUUCGUAGAUAUCGGGAAGAACACCGGUGGCGAAGGCGGCGACCUGGUCCGAUACUGACGCUGAGGCGCGAAAGCGUGGGGAGCAAACAGG
rnacentral:rRNA from 1 species